GUAAGCAACCCCGGUCUAAAGACACGGGGCUUCAGCAAAUGUUGAAGUCCUAGCUUACCACACUAAGUACCUUGCGUACUACGUUCAGAACAAGUGUUAAAGUUCCUACCUACAAAUGCGCAGCUAGUUUGUAGCUCUAGAAAAUCAGGAUUAAACAUCUGUAUGGGUUAACUCACAUCUUGCACCUGACCGAACAAACCCGUAAAAGGCAAAUAAAG
rfam:Scytonema tolypothrichoides VB-61278 scaffold_1, whole genome shotgun sequence.